GGGUGUGUAACUCAGUUGGUAGAGUAAUCGGCUUUUAACCGAUGAGUCGUCGGGUUCAAGUCCCACCACACCCA
rnacentral:tRNA from 1 species